rnacentral:rRNA from 1 species
AACGAACGCUGGCGGCAGGCCUAACACAUGCAAGUCGAGCGAGAUCUUCGGGUCUAGCGGCGGACGGGUGAGUAACGCGUGGGAAUAUGCCUCUUGGUACGGAAUAGCCUCGGGAAACUGGGAGUAAUACCGUAUGUGCCCUUUGGGGGAAAGAUUUAUCGCCAAGAGAUUAGCCCGCGUUGGAUUAGGUAGUUGGUGGGGUAAUGGCCUACCAAGCCGACGAUCCAUAGCUGGUGUGAGAGGAUGAUCAGCCACACUGGGACUGAGACACGGCCCAGACUCCUACGGGAGGCAGCAGUGGGGAAUCUUAGACAAUGGGGGCAACCCUGAUCUAGCCAUGCCGCGUGAGUGAUGAAGGCCUUAGGGUUGUAAAGCUCUUUCAGCUGGGAAGAUAAUGACGGUACCAGCAGAAGAAGCCCCGGCUAACUCCGUG